UCCAUAUUACGAGCUAAUAAAGGGCCGAUGGAGCACUCGAGGAUUCCACCACCGUUGGUUUCGCUAAGGCCAACAGUGAAAUCAAGGAUUUAUAUAUUGCGAUCGGCAAGGCAGCAAAUUAUAUCGAAUCUCCUCCCAAAGAACGUCAUGUUCGCAAGAUAUUCUCGGCGACAUCUGUAAUACAACCACAAGCAGAUGGUGUUUACAACAUCCCUGCAUUGUCAAAGAGAUUAUCCAAAACUCGCACUUGGGUUAUAAGUUUAUUUCUUUCUUUGUAAGCAAUGAAGGUGUUGAUAAUCAUUCACAGAACGUUAAGAGAGAACUUUAAGAGAUGGUGAUCCUAUAUUCAUAGAAGAUCUUUUAAAUUACACUCACGGAAGACACAUUCUCAAGAUUUCUAAACUCAAACUUCAAAGACGAUACAUGCCCUCUUGCCUGGGAUUGCUCUGCUUGGGAUAGAACUUACACGCUCUUUCUCGAAGAGCGGCAUGAAUGUUAUUAUGUUUUAAAGUAUGAUAUAGAGGCAGAGCCUUUGGCAGGAGCUUAAGGUGCAGCUUCCAAGGUGAUAACAAUCCCGGAUAUGAUAUACAUGGAGCGUUUAUGUUGAUCACACUAUUAUAUGGUUCAUGCACAGGGGAUGAUAACAAUCGUGAAUAUGAUAGACCUGAAGCUAGGGCUGUUUCAUCUAAACCUUUGAAAAGAUUGUCCAAAAUAGUCCCAGCUACCUGUGCUGGGAUGGCUUCUUCUUGAGAUGCAGAAAUAUCAACAGCCUCUAACAGUCUCAUCCGUGUUGAACCUGUGCAUGGUGCAGAUGUUCAGGAGGAAGGGCGCAAUGGCAAAAAGCCACGCAAUGCUUAGCUUCCCAACUUAGGAAUGGGCAAGACCAAAGCUGACAACUGCUCAUCCAUAGGUUUUUUUAUCUACUCUUACGCUAAAAGAAAAUUGACUAGGAUUAAGUUUUGUUCUUGAAUCAUGUCAUUGUUGGU